GUGGAUUAGAUACCCUAGUAGUCCUGGCCGUAAACGAUGGGUACUAGGUGUAGGAGGUAUCGACCCCUUCUGUGCCGGAGUUAACGCAAUAAGUACCCCGCCUGGGGAGUACGACCGCAAGGUUGAAACUCAAAGGAAUUGACGGGGGCCCGCACAAGCGGUGGAGUAUGUGGUUUAAUUCGACGCAACGCGAAGAACCUUACCAGGUCUUGACAUUGAUGGACAGAACUAGAGAUAGUUCCUCUUCUUCGGAAGCCAGAAAACAGGUGGUGCACGGUUGUCGUCAGCU
rnacentral:rRNA from 1 species